UGGAAGCCCCGCUAAGCUUGAAUGUUGGUGU
rnacentral:piRNA from 1 species